CUAUGAUCCCAAGGUUCUCUCCGGUUCACCUCCGAGGGAGUUCCCCCCUAUACACGCAGAAUCUGCCUAAGUGUAGGAACCCCAUGUCCGAGAAGCCGGGCACACCCGGAGGGGGUAGCAUUGGAUAUAGAACCAUCUCAAAUCACUUUUGUGCAUGCCAUGUGGACACACACAACUUUUGGGGCCAUUCCCUAGGUCCGAUGCUCGAUUUCUGACGAAACCCUAGUUCUGUUGACCGCGCCGUCUACCCCUUUGACUGCGUCCCAUCGGGGUUCCCCCGGUGGGCGUAUGCCUGCGUUUGAGCUUGGUUAGGUCAUAGGUACAUGUGGAAACAAGUACCAUCCCCUAUGAUCCCAAGGUUCUCUCCGGUUCACCUCCGAGGGAGUUCCCCCCUAUACACGCAGAAUCUGCCUAAGUGUAGGAACCCCAUGUCCGAG